GAGAAAGAUAAUAUAGCAUAGUUGAAAUAUAGGGCCAAUUUGCCUCAUGGUGGAAAGGACUACUGUGCUACAGGAUUACAGGAAUACAGGAUUACAGAGUUACAGGACAACAUCGCUAAGGGAUUACAGGACUACAGGACAACAGAGUUACAGGACAAGUUCGCUAUAGGAUUAUAGGACAACAGAGUUACAGGACAACAGCACUAAAGGAUUACAGGACUACAGGACAACAGAGUUACAGGACAAGUUCGCUAUAGGAUUAUAGGACAACAGAGUUACAGGACAACAGCACUAAAGGAUUACAGGACUACAGGACAACAGAGUUACAGGACAACAGCACUAAAGGAUUACAGGACUACAGGACAACAGAGUUACAGGACAAGUUCGCUAUAGGAUUAUAGGACAACAGAGUUACAGGACAACAGCACUACAGGAUUACAGGACUACAGGACAACAGAGUUACAGGACAACAGCGUUAUAGGAUUAUAGGACUACAGAACAACAGAGUUACAGGACAACAGCACUACAGAAUUACAGGACUACA